rnacentral:rRNA from 1 species
CGCAUCUGUGCAUGCAGCAUAUCAAUAAGCGGAGGAAAAGAAACUAACAAGGAUUCCCUUAGUAACGGCGAGUGAAGCGGGAAGAGCUCAAAUUUGAAAUCUUCAAGGUUUUACCUUGACGAAUUGUAGUUUAAAGAAGUGUUUUCUGUUGAAGUUUUGGUAAAAGUUCUUUGGAAUAGGACAUCAUAGAGGGUGAGAAUCCCGUAUUUGACCAUUAUUUUCAGCUGUGUGAUACACUUUCAAAGAGUCGGAUUGUUGGGAAUGCAGUCCAAAAUGGGUGGUAAAUUUCAUCUAAAGCUAAAUAUUGGCGAGAGACCGAUAGCGAACAAGUACCGUGAGGGAAAGAUGAAAAGAACUUUGAAAAGAGAGUUAAACAGUACGUGAAAUUGUCAAAAGGGAAGCGUUUGACACCAGUGUUGUUUUCUCGAAAAUCAAUUAAAAAGAGUUAGAUUUUGUUGUGUAUUGACCUUAACAGCUUGCAUUUCAAUUUUCUUGCUUUUUUUAAUGCACUUUUCGUUUAACAAGUCAACAUCAGUUUCUUUUGUUGUAAAAAGGUCAUUGGAAGGUGGCUUUCUUUUCGGAGAAAGUGUUUAUAGCCUUUGACUCCUGCAAUCGGAGAGACUGAGGUCUGCAGCGUAGAUCCUUCGGGGUUAGAUACAUUUGUGCUAAGUUAUAGCUUUUUAUAGACAACUUGUUGACUAUGAUUAGUCUUGUAGCUUACUCGCUUAUGCUAUUUUACCUACGCUUAGGAUGUUGACACACGCGCGUGCUCG